AUUGAACGCUGGCGGCAGGCCUAACACAUGCAAGUCGAACGAGUGGCGGACGGGUGAGUAAUGUCUGGGAAACCGCCUGAUGGGGGGGGAUAACCACUGGAAAAUGUCUCUUAUACCGUAUACUCUCAGCUGUGCCUAUAGGGGAUGAGCUAGUUGGUGGGGUAACGGCUCACCAAGGCGACGAUCCCUAGCUGGUCUGAGAGGAUGAACAGCCACAUUGGAACUGAGACACGGUCCAGACUCCGACGGGAGGCAGCAGUGGGGAAUAUUGCACAAUGGGCGCAAGCCUGAUGCAGCCAUGCCGCGUGUAUGAAGAAGGCCUUCGGGUUGUAAAGUACUUUCAGCGGGGAGGCGGGACCCGCAGAAGAAGCACCGGCUAACUCCGUGCCAGCAGCCGCGGUAAUUC
rnacentral:rRNA from 1 species